UGGGGAAUAUUGCACAAUGGGUGCAAGCCUGAUGCAGCCAUGCCGCGCGUAUGAAGAAGGCCUUCGGGUUGUAAAGUACUUUCAGCGGGGAGGAAGGGAGUAAAGUUAAUACCUUUGCUCAUUGACGUUACCCGCAGAAGAAGCACCGGCUAACUCCGUGCCAGCAGCCGCGUUAAUACGGAGGGUGCAAGCGUUAAUCGGAAUUACUGGGCGUAAAGCGCACGCAGGCGGUUUGUUAAGUCAGAUGUGAAAUCCCCGGGCUCAACCUGGGAACUGCAUCUGAUACUAGCAAGGUUGAGUCUCGUAGAGGGGGGUAGAAUUCCAGGUGUAGCGGUGAAAUGCGUAGAGAUCUGGAAGAAUCCCGAUGGCGAAGGCGGCCCCCUGGACGAAGACUGACGCUAAGGUGCGAAAGCGUGGGGAGCAAUCAGG
rnacentral:rRNA from 1 species